GGUUCCAUAGCUCAGCUGGAUAGAGCACCAGAUUUCUAAUCUGGGGGUCGAAGGUUCGAGUCCUUCUGGGAUCGCCA
rnacentral:tRNA from 1 species